rnacentral:ncRNA from 1 species
UUUCCCUCAGGAUAGCUAGCGCUCUCGCUCUUUCUCGACACACGCAGUUUUAUCCAGUAAAGUGAAUGAUUAGAGGUCUUGGGGCCAAAAUGAUCUCAACCUUAUCUCGAACUUUAAAUGGGUAAGAAGCCCAGCUCGCUGGCGUGGAGCCAGGCGUGGAAUGCGAGUGUCUAGUGGGCCACUUUUGGUAAGCAGAACUGGCUCUGCAGGAUGAACCG